rnacentral:rRNA from 1 species
AGUGAACGCUGGCGGUAGGCCUAACACAUGCAAGUCGAACGGCAGCACAGUAAGAGCUUGCUCUUACGGGUGGCGAGUGGCGGACGGGUGAGGAAUACAUCGGAAUCUACUUUUUCGUGGGGGAUAACGUAGGGAAACUUACGCUAAUACCGCAUACGACCUACGGGUGAAAGCAGGGGAUCUUCGGACCUUGCGCGAUUGAAUGAGCCGAUGUCGGAUUAGCUAGUUGGCGGGGUAAAGGCCCACCAAGGCGACGAUCCGUAGCUGGUCUGAGAGGAUGAUCAGCCACACUGGAACUGAGACACGGUCCAGACUCCUAAGGGAGGCAGAAGUGGGGAAUAUUGGACAAUGGGCGCAAGCCUGAGCCAGCCAUACCGCGUGGGUGAAGAAGGCCUUCGGGUUGUAAAGCCCUUUUGUUGGGAAAGAAAAGCAGCAGGUUAAUACCCCGCUGUUCUGACGGUACCCAAAGAAUAAGCACCGGCUAACUUCGUG